CAGCAGCCGCGGGAAUACGUAUGUCACAAGCGUUAUCCGGAUUUAUUGGGCGUAAAGCGCGUCUAGGUGGUUAUGUAAGUCUGAUGUGAAAAUGCAGGGCUCAACUCUGUAUUGCGUUGGAAACUGUGUAACUAGAGUACUGGAGAGGUAAGCGGAACUACAAGUGUAGAGGCGAAAUUCGUAGAUAUUUGUAGGAAUGCCGAUGGGGAAGCCAGCUUACUGGACAGAUACUGACGCUAAAGCGCGAAAGCGUGGGUAGCAAACAGGAUUAGAUACCCCAGUAGUCCCUGUCUCUUAUACA
rnacentral:rRNA from 1 species